rnacentral:rRNA from 1 species
CCUACGGGUGGCAGCAGUGGGGAAUAUUGGACAAUGGGCGAAAGCCUGAUCCAGCCAUGCCGCGUGUGUGAAGAAGGCCUUCGGGUUGUAAAGCACUUUCAGUGGGGAAGAAAGCCUUGGGGCUAAUACCCUCGAGGAAGGACAUCACCCACAGAAGAAGCACCGGCUAACUCCGUGCCAGCAGCCGCGGUAAUACGGAGGGUGCGAGCGUUAAUCGGAAUUACUGGGCGUAAAGCGCGCGUAGGCGGUCUGAUAAGCCGGUUGUGAAAGCCCCGGGAUCAACCUGGGAACGGCAUCCGGAACUGUCAGGCUAGAGUGCAGGAGAGGAAGGUAGAAUUCCCGGUGUAGCGGUGAAAUGCGUAGAGAUCGGGAGGAAUACCAGUGGCGAAGGCGGCCUUCUGGACUGACACUGACGCUGAGGUGCGAAAGCGUGGGUAGCAAACAGGAUUAGAUACCCGUGUAGUC